CUAGUUCGGAUUGUAGGCUGAAACUCGCCUACAUGAAGCUGGAAUUGCUAGUAAUCACAGGUCAGCAUACUGUGGUGAAUACGUUCCCGGGCCUUGUACACACCGCCCGUCACACCAUGAGAGUUGAGAAUACCCGAAGCCCAUGUCAAAGUGGUCGAAGGUAGGCUUGAUGAUUGGGGUGAAGUCGUAACAAGGUAGC
rnacentral:rRNA from 1 species